rnacentral:misc_RNA from 1 species
UGCAACCCUACGAGAACACGCGGAGCCUGUUCGACCAUUACCGCAAGCACUAUGUCGACGCCGGCGUGCCGAACCAGGGCGGGAUGGCUUUCCUGCCGCUGGUCUACACCGCCGAUUCGCAAUCGGAAGCCGAGAAGGGCGCGCAGGAGCUGCUCUGGUACAUCCGCUCCAACAAGACCGAGCCGCAGUUCAAGAACCCGCCCGGCUAUGCCUCGAUCGCGCUCAAUGUGCAGGCGCUGCAAGGCAAGUUCGGCGGCCGCACCGAGGCGGUGCGCGCGCAGGGCCUCGACUACAUGAUGGAG